rnacentral:rRNA from 1 species
CAGUAGCCACGGUAAAACGUAGGGUGCAAGCGUUAAUCGGAAUUACUGGGCGUAAGGCGUGCGCAGGCGGUUUUGUAAGACAGAGGUGAAAUCCCCGGGCUCAACCUGGGAACUGCCUUUGUGACUGCAAGGCUGGAGUGCGGCAGAGGGGGAUGGAAUUCCGCGUGUAGCAGUGAAAUGCGUAGAUAUGCGGAGGAACACCGAUGGCGAAGGCAAUCCCCUGGGCCUGCACUGACGCUCAUGCACGAAAGCGUGGGGAGCAAACAGGAUUAGAUACCCCCGUAGUCCCUGUCUCUUAUAC